rnacentral:rRNA from 1 species
AACGAACGCUGGCGGCAGGCUUAACACAUGCAAGUCGAGCGGGCCCGCAAGGGUCAGCGGCGGACGGGUUAGUAACGCGUGGGAACGUGCCCUUUGCUCUGGAAUAGCCCUGGGAAACUGGGGGUAAUACCGGAUGUGCCCUGAGGGGGAAAGAUUUAUCGGCAAGGGAUCGGCCCGCGUCUGAUUAGGUAGUUGGUGUGGUAACGGCGCACCAAGCCGACGAUCGGUAGCUGGUUUGAGAGGAUGAUCAGCAACACUGGGACUGAGACACGGCCCAGACUCCUACGGGAGGCAGCAGUGGGGAAUCUUAGACAAUGGGCGCAAGCCUGAUCUAGCCAUGCCGCGUGGGUGAUGAAGGCCUUAGGUUCGUAAAGCCCUUUCGCCGGGGAAGAUAAUGACGGUACCCGGUAAAGAAACCCCGGCUAACUCCGUGCCAGCCGCCGCAGUAA